CAGUAGCCACGGGAAUACGAAGGGGGCUAGCGUUGUUCGAAUUUACUGGGCGUAAAGGGCGCGUAGGCGGACUGAUAAGUCAGGAGUGAAAUCCCAAGGCUCAACCUUGGAACUGCCUUUGAUACUGUUUGUCUUGAGUUCGAGAGAGGUAAGUGGAACUGCGAGUGUAGAGGUGAAAUUCGUAGAUAUUCGCAAGAACACCAGUGGCGAAGGCGGCUUACUGGCUCGAUACUGACGCUGAGGCGCGAAAGCGUGGGGAGCAAACAGGAUUAGAUACCCCUGUAGUCCCUGUCUCUUAUAC
rnacentral:rRNA from 1 species